rnacentral:misc_RNA from 1 species
UCUACGACGAGCUCUAAUUUCGCCGCGACGAUUUAGCCUGUGGAUUUAGCGGGUCUUUGGUUCUAUUGGGUACCACAAUCGACACCGAGCGUCCCGAUGCUAUUUAUAGAACUACGUCGGCGCCCUAGACAGUAGACAUUUACAACAACAGAGCUUUGAGGAACCACAUAAUCUCCUCCAAAAGGGAAUCUACAAGGGAUGGUGGUAGGUGCCCAACAAAAAGUAGGAGGGUGGCCAAGUAACAAUUCCGCUAUAGCAAGUAGCUAUGCCUAUCGUUCACUCAAAGGCGAUGGAGCAAAAUGAGAGUGAGGGGUCCACCAAUCGGACGUUUGUGGACCAACUCAAAGGAGGAGAUCACUGUCGCAAGGGCGUUUGAGGAAUUUCUUAUGGAAAAACCUUGCUGCCUCUUCUGCAACUUGAAAAUUUGAUCCGCAAACAUCCAUCUCUCUAGGGUUAAACGGGCCCUAGAAUCAAGGUGUACAUAGACAACAAACACAAGAACCUAUGAACAGAUCAUAAAGUCUGAUAAAGUUCGUUAUACACAGACCCAGUCAGACCUAAAAUCGGAGGAUACUGAGCUGAUUUGUACGCUAUUUUCAGGAUUCUUAUAUGAUACGAGAGAGCAUGGUGUUUGAUUUUUGGCCUUCACACGUUGGCUGAAAAGUAGAAGUAUCAUAAAUUUGUUGUUUCCUCAUUCCAGUUGCAGGAAAGAGAGUCUCAGCAAUUUGGCUAUGCAACAAGAGAGAGCAACGCGGAUCCUACGAUUUGAGAAAGUUGUCGACGAUAGAUUACCAAAGCUUUUAGCGAUAGCUUAAUUUUAUCAACGGAUUUCCGUUCUAGGACUCAAAGAUGUAUAAGAAU